rnacentral:tRNA from 1 species
CAGAGUAUAGCGCAGUUGGUAGCGCGCCUGCUUUGGGAACAGGAUGUCUGGAGUUCCAAUCCCUCUGCUCCGACCA